rnacentral:lncRNA from 1 species
GCCAGGAAUGCGUCCGGGGAGGGCGCGCGGUGGGCGCGCGCCAGCCUCGGGGACGCGCGCCCAGGUCUGAAGAGUGGAGGCCGGGCUCCCCUGCUGCGGGCGCACGGUCCCCGGGGACGUCACAACGCUGGAAUCCGAGGAAUGCCAGGCUGCGGGAGCUCCGUCGGCAGGCCGGGCAGAAGUCGUGCACUUUUAAUGGGCUAGCUCUGGAGCGUGUCUUCCUUCCAAGAGUGGACUCUGUCCUUGAACAGGAACCAGCCCUCACAUCUACAUUCCCAAACAAAAGCAUCGGGCUGAGUCAUGAGCCCAGGAUGGGAAGGAAGAUUCUCACAAAUGAGAGGCCCAGGGGUGAUCUGGUCACACCCAGUCUGCCAGCAGACCCUGAGGGCUGAAAAGCCAC